rnacentral:lncRNA from 1 species
AGUUUAGUUAUAAGGUUCACAUGCGUAGUUCAGGUGAAUAAAUGAACUGAUGAAAAUAUGUAAGUAUAGAAAACAGAGGAAGCAUGAAUCUAGUUACUGAUAGAGGAAUAGAGUGUGGAAAUCUUAGAAAGAUUAUUAAUAGUAGAUGAGACAAGAAGAAAGUUACUCGUAAAAUUUGACCUGAAGGAUUAUUUCGAGCAAAAUCCCAUCAUUUAUUUGGGCAAUUUGUAGGAGUAUAUGUAUGCCAUCUAAUUGGGAAUUCUAAGGAAGAAUAUCUCUAAGUUCAUUCAGCUGCAAAGAUUUGAGAAGUUCUCAUUGAACCAAUGUAUGCAUAAAUUGAAAACAUCAAAAUUUGCUUUCUAUCGAACAAGCCUUGUCAAUUCACCAAUGAUGUGACAAAUUAUUAAAAAAGAACACUGUGGGAAUAUGCAUAACAAUGCAAUGAACUUGAUGCCACAAAUAUUAAUAACUAUAAAAUUUUAUAUUUUUUAGUUUUUAUUUUUGAUAGUGUACUUUAGCCAUUAGUUCAAGUCAAUUUUUACGAUAAAAGAAGUAAGCAUGAGAAAUAGGAGGUAUUUUAUUAUCAGAAGCUCAAUCAUACUAUAUGAGUUCAAAUCAUCUAAGUGAAGCCCUUCUUUAACAUUCUCACUAAAUUGUCUUUUCAACAAAACUAAAAAGAAAAAUACAAACUCCACAAUUUCGAGACUAAAUGUAUAAUAGCCUUCAUAAUUAGUAAUACAAAUGCAAUGACCACAAACAGUUUCAAAAUGCAAUGUGA